GACGAACGCUGGCGGCGUGCUUAACACAUGCAAGUCGAACGGAAAGGCCCUGCUUUUGUGGGGUGCUCGAGUGGCGAACGGGUGAGUAACACGUGAGUAACCUGCCCUUGACUUUGGGAUAACUUCAGGAAACUGGGGCUAAUACCGGAUAGGAGCUCCUGCUGCAUGGUGGGGGUUGGAAAGUUUCGGCGGUUUGGGAUGGACUCGCGGCUUAUCAGCUUGUUGGUGGGGUAGUGGCUUACCAAGGCUUUGACGGGUAGCCGGCCUGAGAGGGUGACCGGCCACAUUGGGACUGAGGUACGGCCCAGACUCCUACGGGAGGCAGCAGUGGGGAAUAUUGCACAAUGGGCGGAAGCCUGAUGCAGCAACGCCGCGUGCGGGAUGACGGCCUUCGGGUUGUAAACCGCUUUCGCCUGUGACGAAGCGUGAGUGACGGUAAUGGGUAAAGAAGCACCGGCUAACUACGUG
rnacentral:rRNA from 1 species